AACGAACGCUGGCGGCAGGCUUAACACAUGCAAGUCGAACGCCCCGCAAGGGGAGUGGCAGACGGGUGAAUAACGCGUGGGAAUCUACCGUGCCCUGCGGAAUAGCUCCGGGAAACUGGAAUUAAUACCGCAUACGCCCUACGGGGGAAAGAUUUAUCGGGGUAUGAUGAGCCCGCGUUGGAUUAGCUAGUUGGUGGGGUAAAGGCCUACCAAGGCGACGAUCCAUAGCUGGUCUGAGAGGAUGAUCAGCCACAUUGGGACUGAGACACGGCCCAAACUCCUACGGGAGGCAGCAGUGGGGAAUAUUUGACAAUGGGCGCAAGCCUGAUCCAGCCAUGCCGCGUGAGUGAUGAAGGCCUUAGGGUUGUAAAGCUCUUUCACCGAUGAAGAUAAUGACGGUAGUCGGAGAAGAAGCCCCGCCUAACUUCGUGCCAGCCGCCGCUGUAA
rnacentral:rRNA from 1 species